rnacentral:rRNA from 1 species
CAGUCGCCACGGGAAAACGAAGGGGGCUAGCGUUGUUCGGAAUUACUGGGCGUAAAGCGUGCGUAGGUGGUGGUUUAAGUCCGUUGUGAAAGCCCUGGGCUCAACCUGGGAAUUGCAGUGGAUACUGGGUCACUAGAGUGUGGUAGAGGAUAGUGGAAUUUCCGGUGUAGCAGUGAAAUGCGUAGAGAUCGGAAGGAACAUCUGUGGCGAAGGCGACUAUCUGGGCCAACACUGACACUGAGGCACGAAAGCGUGGGGAGCAAACAGGAUUAGAUACCCCCGUAGUCCCUGUCUCUUAUAC